rnacentral:rRNA from 1 species
GACGUAGGGCGCGAGCGUUGUCCGGAUUUAUUGGGCGUAAAGAGCUCGUAGGCGGCUUGUCGCGUCGACUGUGAAAACCCGUGGCUCAACCAUGUGGUCUGCAGUCGAUACGGGCAGGCUAGAAUUCGGUAGGGGAGACUGGAAUUCCUGGUGUAGCGGUGAAAUGCGUAGAUAUCGGGAGGAACACCAGUGGCGAAGGCGACUACCUGGCCCACUCUUGACGCUGAGGCGCGAAAGCUAGGGGAGCAAACGGG